UUUCCGUAGGUGAACCUGCGGAAGGAUCAUUGUUGUAUAACCGAGGUGCGAGGGCUGUCGCUGACCCGAAAGGUCGUGCACGCCCGAGUGCCCUCACACACAUCCAUCUCACCCCUAUGUGCACCACCGCGCGGGUCCCCCUUUGGCUUGUUCGGAGGGGGGCUUACGUUUUCACACAAACUUUGUAUGCAGUGUAGAAUGUAUUUUUUGUUUUUGCGAUCACGCAAUCAAUACAACUUUCAACAACGGAUCUCUUGGCUCUC
rnacentral:misc_RNA from 1 species